GCCUGGGUGGCUCAGUCAGUUAAGCAUCUGACUUUGGCUCAGGUCAUGAUCUCGCGGCUCGUGAGUUCGAGCCCCACGUCGGGCU
rfam:Felis catus isolate Cinnamon breed Abyssinian chromosome B1, whole genome shotgun sequence.